rnacentral:rRNA from 1 species
GUGGGGAAUAUUGGACAAUGGGCGAAAGCCUGAUCCAGCCAUGCCGCGUGUGUGAAGAAGGUCUUCGGAUUGUAAAGCACUUUAAGUUGGGAGGAAGGGCAGUAAGUUAAUACCUUGCUGUUUUGACGUUACCGACAGAAUAAGCACCGGCUAACUUCGUGCCAGCAGCCGCGGUAAUACGAAGGGUGCAAGCGUUAAUCGGAAUUACUGGGCGUAAAGCGCGCAGAGGUGGUUUUGUAAGUUGGAGGUGAAAUCCCCGGGCUCAACCUGGGAACUGCCUCCAAAACUGCAUGACUAGAGGACGGUAGAGGGUAGUGGAAUUUCCUGUGUAGCGGUGAAAUGCGUAGAUAUAGGAAGGAACACCAGUGGCGAAGGCGACUACCUGGACUGAUACUGACACUGAGGUGCGAAAGCGUGGGGAGCAAACAGGAUUAGAAACCCCAGUAGUCC